CGGAGGGAGUUGAGACUCGUGCAGCGGAGGCGAAACGACCCCGAAGGCCGUUUUAACGACGGAGCACUAGUCCCUGAAACUGUAGAGGCCAUUUAUUAUUGAGUAAUUGACUAAUUAUGUAGUAAUCAGUAGGAUAACGACGAUGACGACAACGCCAACGGCGGUGACGAAGAGGAUGCAGAGAACAAAAUGUACAAGAGAAGUUUGGUAUGGUGGGAUGAUCAACAAGUGGUGGUAUUAUUAUAGAGGGCUGGUGCGCGUGUGGCCGGCGUUUUGGUAUUAUUUUAUUACUUAUUUGGAUGUGUUUUUAAAAUGACUAAAAGCGUUUUUUGUGAAAAUGUUUUUGAAAUCAAUCCUUAGUAAAAAUGCAAAUAAAUUUUGAAAAGCAUUUAAAGUGCUUCUUGAAAGAAGCACAUAACUAGUGCUUUUGAAAUCAAAAAAUAUUUUAUUUAAAAGCUCUUUUAAUUAUUUUAAAAACACAUACAAACGAGUCAUUAAUUUAUGUGUUUGUUUAGACUUUUGUACUAUUACAUGAUGCAUUUUCGGUUGCCAGUGACUAUUUCUGGGUACAACUUCCAGAUGUUUGCCAUUGCUUUUACAUGGUAGAACAAGCAACUGCGUAACAAAUUUUCCAGCUACAAGUCGGUCGUCGUUGACCCAAGACAAGAAAAGUCCGUGGUCGACAACCAAUAAAAUUUAAAAGUAAAAAGAAAAAAGAGAGAUUAGAAAAUGACCUGAGAUUGGACUUUUUCCGUGUGGGUAAAGGGAUUAAAAUUUUUAAAUUAAAUGAUAUGAUUGUUAAUAAUAAGAUUAUUAUUUUAAUAUUGAUUAACGUGUUUAUUUUCUAUUAAUGAUACAUUUUUUGUUUUGCAAAUUUGGUUGAUCUCUUUAGUAUUAUCCAAUUUGUCUAAUUAUAAGUAGACCAACAUGGAUUGGUGAACCCUAUCUCUAUUAGGCAUAUGGUAUAACAUGAUAUAAAAAUACGUUAAGUGUAAUAUUACUCUUCCUUAUGUUGCACAAUGAUCUAAAUUGUUUACUUUCUAAUUUAUUCUUUAAAAAAUAAGCAAAUAAAAAACGUUUAACUGUUGAACUAAAAUUGUUAACAUGAUUUGUCUGUUUUAUUUUACUGAAUAACCAUAAAAGACUAAAUAAUUUUAAAUUUCUUUGAAUUGUAAAAAAUUGAUCUUAGAGCAAGUCCACCCGGGGUGGGAUAGGCCGGCACCCAGUGGAAAAAACAGGCUGAGACUCAGCCAAUCCACUCCAGCUCGUGGAAUCGACUGGCACCCAGCCCAAGCCAGUCCACAGGCCGGCCUAAAAUCGACAGACCUUGGGACCGGCUCAAGUGACGCCUAGUUGACACCAGCGUGGUGUCGGAGGGCAAGGAGCCACGGAGCCAUCAACAUCGCGAAGCUCGCCUCACUCUCAAAACCCCCCUCUUGUCCACCGGCGGCGGCUACUUCACCACCGCGAGCGACUUCUGCCCGCUUCCCGCUUCCCGUCCCGUGAGCUCCUUCAAAUCUGCAUGUGCAUUUCCUCCAAAUCUGACUGCCUCCCGCAAUUCAACCACCUAAGAUUGGAACUUUUGAGCUUUUCUGGGAAAGUGGAUUCUGGGAUUGGAGUUUUGGGGUUGGAGCAGUGAUUCUGAGGGUCGGGUUUUUUUUGUGUGGAAGGGAUGGGAAGUUGCA
rnacentral:lncRNA from 1 species